rnacentral:lncRNA from 1 species
GGCAGUACUUGUACAGUGCAUGUCCACAGUUACAUGCAUAUGGCAAAGCAUACUUCAGCUUUUGGUUUUGAAACUCAUCUCCCACUAAGGCCAAAGCCCUGACAUCCUUACUGCCGUGUGUCUGGGAUUUUGUUUCAGCGUAUGUCCAGUCUUAUCUUAUGAGCUGAACACCUUCAGUAUGUAUAUGUGCAAUUAGCAGUUUGUUCUUGCAUGGGUCUGUCAGGGCUUGGGAGACAUUCGGCAUGUGCAUGGGUAGGUUCCCCUGGCUUGAUUUUUCUCUGUGAGGAACCUGGUUCAUAUGCAUCGGCACUGCUCUGCAGCCAAGCCCUCAUCUGAAAGUAAUUGAGUGGCUCUCUUCAAACCUGCCUUGUUGCCCCAACCAAAACAUUAGUGUGAGCCCAGUCCCUGACAGCUCACUGCGGUUGGCUCUCUGUGGGCUGAUUUGCGUGCUGUGUUGACUGAGUUUCCUCUCAGCUCUAAAGACUGUGUAUCAUUUAUCUAUUUUUUUUACAGGUGUCAUUAUGCAAAUUAUGUAUGCAUACAAAUAUAAACACAUAUACACAAAUCUUACGUGGAUAAAUAUGUAAAAACAAACUUCAAUUAUACCUACAAACAUCCAUGUAUAUGUAUAUAUUUGCCAUAAUAUAUUAUUGCAAAGGUAUUAUCUCCACAGUUGAUGAUGGUCUGAAUGCCAUUGCAGCUACUGUUAUUGUCCUUUGGUUGGAGUGAUACCCGUCCAGCACUGCCCUUUAUUAGAAGAUUAUCCGAACUUCUCAGUUAUGCAAACAAACAAAAAUGUAUUCUGUAGGUUUGUUACAUUGGUCACAAUGUGAAGUGCAUUUGUAUGAAUUGAAAGCACAUGGGACUGCAAGCUAUAGCUACAUUACAAGUUUCCAAGGAUAUACUGCUGUCAAUGUCAUUUUUUUUAGCAAAAGUAUCUUCACCAAACCUCAAACUACACCUCAAGAAGCCAAGAAAUAAUAAUGGUGGUUUGAGGCAUGAAACAAAGGAUGGUAUUGUUGUGUGGAGGAAGCAAGCACAACCUAGGUAAGGUGAAGGAGGGAACUCGUUGCUGUUGUGCAGUUCUGCAGCAGGCAAGACCUGAGCUGCAUAAAAAAAAGCAUUUAUCUAUGGUAAUGUUUUUGUCACCUUUUUGAUACUUUAGAAAUAUUCCUAAUUCACUGUCUUCCAGGUAGAGAAGUUAUUUCUAUUAUAUAAAUGAUAUUAAAUAUGUAUAUUAAAAUGUAAUGUCCUUUGGACAGUUCUAACUUGUGGGAUGAAAUGGCAAGGCAGAUGGGGAAAAUGUCUGUGGGAACAGGGGAGUAACUGGAAGAUAAGUGAAAAAAACAGGAUCUGACUAUUAAAGACAUCUGGGAGGUUUGUAUGUCUAAAAAAUUUGGGGAUUUACAAUCACAACAUGCUAUAAAACUGGAGUUGCAAAUCAAACUUCUCUUACUUUAUAUGCCUUGCAGGGGGAGUGAGCCAUGUUUUGUGAGUCAAACACAGAACAAAAUAGAAACCCCCAAAACACCCCAAGCACACUGGGAAGUCACCCAGAGAGAAGAGAUUACGUUUAGAAGAGCUUUUGUUCCCAGUGAGCUAAAGAUAUUAAUACGCAUCUGGUAUACAAUGAUAUCAGCAUACUGAAUUGCAGGAAGAGCAGGUUAUUGGGGAGUCAGGAUCUGUUGUUGAGAUUUGUUUGUACUCAGUAUUUAGCAAAAAGAAAAGGAAUAUAAUUAGAAGACUGUGAACUGGGGUAAGAGUUGUUUCUUCUAAAGAAGAAACAAUGAGGAGAGGAUGUCUGCUGAAAUAGUCUCUUCAUGCAGGCAGCUCAGAGAUGUCCACGGAAGGAAAUCUGUUCAGUAGCCCAUAAUCGCUCUGAGUUCCAUGUAGAUGUUGAUCUUUUGUUCAGCUGAUUUCCUUUUGGUAGCUGUUUUCUGCUUUGCAAUCAAGAGAUAGAAUAAACGGGACUCCUGCUUUUCCUUAUUCUUAUCGAACGACAGAGGAAUCUUAAGGCCAGGUGUUGGUGUAUGCUAGUUGCUCUCCAGGGAACAAAAGCAGCAAGCAGGUGGAGACAGAAUGGUUCGCUUCCAAAUGUUUCAGAGUUCUUGGGCUUGGGAUGUGUUACCUCCUAGCUCAGUUCGACGCAAGGUGGUGGCUUGCAAAAGGAAGCCUCCCAUGGCAGCCUUCAGCCAGCAUAGCUUUACCAGGCUCCCGUUGAAAUGAAGUGAGCGUUUAACUCAGAUGAUAACUGUGUGUCUUGUGGGUUCCUUCACAUCUCCAGUCCGGUUACUGGGAAGUUUUCUCCUCCAACCACCCUUUGACUGUCUAUAAAUAAGUGUAACAAAAAGGGUACUGAGUACUAAUUCACAGUGAAUCACAGCUGAACAGUAUGAUCAGGUGAAUCCCAUAAAGAGAACUGACAGUGUAUUCAGAUCGGGUGUUUGCCAUUCAAGGAUCUGCACCUCUUAUGAUCUAUUUGGGCCCAUCUUUCUCUAGCCUUUAGAAAAGACUUCUAGAGUCUUGCUGGUUGUCUUAUUAACAUGUAGAGAUGGCUAACUGGUGAAUCACAGCUUCCUUUAAGUAGCCCCUGACAUCUGUAGCAUUUUGUCAAAGUGUAGAGGGAAAUGAGAUGAAAGGCUUAAAAUGCUGUGUGGCUUUUCCAAUUUUAAGUAAUGUCAGACAUUCUUUGAAGUAAUUUGGCCUCUUGUGAAAAAUGUUCCCUGUGUUCAAGGGCAUCAAAACCAGGCAGCCCUCCUAAAAAUAGUACAUACUUAUUUGUUGAGUUAAAAGUUUCACAGGUAUCCUUUUUAUGCAUCCUACUUUGUUUAUCUGUGAAGGUGCUCAUUUGUUUGUUUUCCUUGCAAGAUUCCUGAGAACGUUCUUAUACUUCCAAACCACAUUUCUCGAAUCUGAGUAUGGGAAGGGGGUAGUACAUAGAUUACUUGCUGAAUAUACUAAAACUCAAUCAUAUUUAACUACUUUAUGAAGUCUGUUUAAGUUUUGUAACAUUUAACUACUUUAAUUCUAGGCUAGAUCCUCUUUUCUGCUAACUUGUUUUCCUAGUGAAAAAAGAGAAAAUAAUAGGUGCAUUAAUUGUUAGUUAAGGUAGCAGGCCAUGGUGAACCUCUUAACAUUCUCCUAUUUUAUGAGCAUAAAACUUCUAUUUUAAUAAUGCCUUGCAAUAAAGGAUCUUUUCAUGGCAGCUAAAUGAUGUACAAUGGUAAUAUUUCUACAAGAAAAUUAGAUUUUGAUAUUGCCUUGGUUUUCAGUGAAACAAAAGAAUUUGUGAAGAACUUGAAAGAGAAUACCACUCAUCAUCAUGGACAGCUGAUGAAGAAGACGGAACCAGGGAAGAGUGGUUGAGAUUCUUUUUUUCUAGUUAAAGGAAGCAGGAGAUGUUCUUGCUCUAGCAAACAGCACUGACAUGAUCAAGAAUCUCUGAAAAUCCCUGGAGAGAUCUCUCCAAGUGAGCAUUGAAUUAACUUCCUUUCCUACUGUUCCACUCUGUACAAAAGAAGUCCUUCCUUCAAAAGUCCUUGGAAUACAAUGCUGUGUUUUGUAAGCAGAGUCCAGAAAAGCACAAACACCUCUAACAAAAGAAUAGUAAAUAAUGGCUAUUUCUACUCUCAUUACCCUGGGCUGCACUUCCUCUGCUAUCAGGUACCAUGCUGAAGUACAGCGCAGGUCACUGUGGC